AACGAACGCUGGCGGCGUGCCUAACACAUGCAAGUCGUGCGAGAAAGUUCCUUCGGGAGCGAGUAAAGCGGCGCACGGGUGAGUAACACGUAGGUAACCUGCCCCCCAGUCUGGAACAACUAGAGGAAACUCUAGCUAAUGCCGGAUGAGACCACGAUCCCUUCGGGGGUUGCGGCCAAAGAUGGCCUCUACUUGUAAGCUAUCGCUGAGGGAUGGGCCUGCGGGCCAUUAGCUUGUUGGUGAGGUAACGGCUCACCAAGGCUGUGAUGGCUAGCUGGUCUGAGAGGAUGACCAGCCACACUGGGACUGAGACACGGCCCAGACUCCUACGGGAGGCAGCAGUGGGAAUAUUGCGCAAUGGGCGAAAGCCUGAUCCAGCAAUGCCGCGUGAGUGAUGAAGGCCUUAGGGUUGUAAAGCUCUUUACCCGGAUGAUAAUGACAGUACCGGGAGAAUAAGCCCGGCUAACUCCGUGCCAGCAGCCGCGGUAAU
rnacentral:rRNA from 1 species